rnacentral:rRNA from 1 species
GACGAACCGUGCGAACGUUGUUCGGAAUCACUGGGCGUAAAGGGCGCGUAGGUGGCGAGCCAAGUCCAUGGUGAAAGCUCGAUGCUCAACAUCGAGUCGGCCACGGAUACUGGUGCGCUUGAGCACUGUAGAGGCUAAUGGAAUUCCGGGUGUAGCGGUGGAAUGCGUAGAGAUCCGGAAGAACACCGGUGGCGAAGGCGGUUAGCUGGGCAGUUGCUGACACUGAGGCGCGACAGCGUGGGGAGCAAACAGG